CAGCAAACUAAGAUAAACAGUUAGACUACAAACCGACAGCUUUUGUUUUAGCUUGUUUGUAAAAAUUCUCUAUUUGCAGAGUUGAGCUGUGUUCGUGUAAAACAGCGUGGUGGACUGAGCAGACAGAGCACAUUGAAAUAUUGCUUUCUACAUUUUUAUGCCUGUCUUUACAGGUGAGUGCAUUGAUAAGUAUUGACUUUUUACUCACAAAGGUUUUAUUGUAGCCUACUUACAGUAACAAGACUAGCGUGAGUGCAUCUGCCCCAGCGGCCGUUGGUAAUCCUCUUUGUAUCGUUCCCAGUCAGGUACUGCGUGUGCUUUAGAUGUGUGUGUGUGUG